GAUGAUGCAGAAAGUCACAAGUUUGCUUCUUGAACUUGUCUGAAUUAUAUUUUCUUGCAAGACAAAAUCUUCUGAUGGCUUCAAACUUUGCUUUCUAUGUGUUUCAGCUUUCUUCUCCAUGGAUUUCUUUGGAAUAAAUUGUCAGAUGUGACAAAUGAGAAAGACAUAGUAUGCUUGUAAUAUCAUUGAAGAUACGGAGUGAUAGAGUAUGCUAUUCUCUACAAAUGAAGAAGAAUUAUUAAUUCAUUCAACCACUAUUUUCUAUUUUAACUCUUUGACCCAGAAUUUUUAUUGAACAUAUUUUUCUUACUUUUU